GACGUAGGGUGCGAGCGUUGUCCGGAUUUAUUGGGCGUAAAGAGCGUGUAGGCGGUUUGGUAGGUCCGUUGUGAAAACUCGAGGCUCAACCUCGAGACGCCGAUGGAAACCAUCAGACUAGAGUCCGGAAGAGGAGAGUGGAAUUCCUGGUGUAGCGGUGAAAUGCGCAGAUAUCAGGAAGAACACCCGUGGCUAAGGCGGCUCUCUAGUACGGUACUGACGCUGAGACGCGAAAGCGUGGGGAGCGAACAGG
rnacentral:rRNA from 1 species